CACACACACACUGUGUUAAUAAAUGUGAACAUUUUAGGUUUUGACAUAUAUUGCCAAAUAUAGAUCCAUUUAUUUUCCCUUCAACAAUGUGCAAAGAAGGGACUAUUUUUACACAGCCUCAACAACAUGAUGCAUUAACAAACAUUUUUAUUCCAGUGUAAAUACAUAAAAAAUAGCCUCAUUUUAAUCCCCCAAAUUCAACUUUUGAUAUGUCUAAAUUUGUUCUCUUUUCAGUAAAUGAUCUGAUCCAUAACUUUCGACUUUGCUUGUUAUAGAUUUCUAUUCCUUUAGUCAAUAUGCAAAAAUUAAUGUCUUUGAU